UACGGGGGGGGCAAGCGUUGUUCGGAAUUACUGGGCGUAAAGGGCUCGUAGGUGGCCAACUAAGUCAGACGUGAAAUCCCUCAGCUUAACUGGGGAACUGCGUCUGAUACUGGAUGGCUUGAGUUUGGGAGAGGGACGCGGAAUUCCGGGUGUAGCGGUGAAAUGCGUAGAUAUCUGGAGGAACACCGGUGGCGAAGGCGGCGUCCUGGACCAACACUGACACUGAUGAGCGAAAGCCAGGGGAGCAAACGGG
rnacentral:rRNA from 1 species